GUAGCGGCGAGCGAAACGGGAAAAGCCCAAACCAACAAGCUUGCUUGUUGGGGUUGUAGGACUCCGAUAUGGUAGUCUAUUCAGAUAGUCGAAAUACUUGGAAAAGUAUGUCAAAGAGGGUAAAAACCCCGUAGGCGAAAUUUGGAUAACACCUAGGAGGAUCCUGAGUACGGCGGAACACGAGGAAUUCCGUCGGAAUCCGGGAGGACCAUCUCCCAGGGCUAAAUACUCCUUAGUGACCGAUAGUGAACCAGUACCGUGAGGGAAAGGUGAAAAGCACCCCGGAAGGGGAGUGAAAUAGAUCCUGAAACCGUGUGCCUACAACAAGUUAGAGCCCGUUAAUGGGUGAUAGCGUGCCUUUUGUAGAAUGAACCGGCGAGUUACGAUAGCAUGCGAGGUUAAGUUGAAGAGACGGAGCCGUAGCGAAAGCGAGUCUGAAUAGGGCGAAUGAGUAUGUUGUCGUAGACCCGAAACCAUGUGAUCUACCCAUGUCCAGGUUGAAGGUGCGGUAAAACGCACUGGAGGACCGAACCCACGUACGUUGAAAAGUGCGGGGAUGAGGUGUGGGUAGCGGAGAAAUUCCAAACGAAUUUGGAGAUGC
rnacentral:rRNA from 1 species